rnacentral:rRNA from 1 species
UCACGCCGAAAGUCUAAGGUUUCCUGAAGUCAAGUUAAUCUGCUCAGGGUUAGUCGGCCCCUAAGGCGAGGCUGAAAAGCGUAGUCGAUGGGAAACGGGUUAAUAUUCCCGUACCACUGGUGUGGAAAUUGGAUAAGGGGGGACGGAGAAGGAUAGGCCAUCCGGGCGUUGGUAGUCCCGGUUCAAGCGUGUAGGCGGAGGACUUAGGCAAAUCCGGGUCCUUGUUAACGCCGAGGCGUGAUGACGAAGCCCUCAGGGCUGCAAAGUGGUUGAUUCCACGCUUCCAGGAAAAGCCUCGUAUACACUCACACUGGUGACCGUACCGUAAACCGACACAGGUAGACAGGUAGAAAAUACUAAGGCGCUUGAGAGAACUCUGGUUAAGGAACUCGGCAAAAUAGCACCGUAACUUCGGGAGAAGGGGUGCCCACAUGGUGAACAUUUUUACAAUUGUGAGCCUAGUUGGGUUGCAGUGAAAUGGGGGGAGCGACUGUUUACUAAAAACACAGGACUCUGCGAAGUCGUAAGACGAAGUAUAGGGUCUGACGCCUGCCCGGUGCCGGAAGGUUAAGGGGACAUGUCAGCGCAAGCAAAGCAUCGAACCGAAGCCCCGGUAAACGGCGGCCGUAACAAUAACGGUCCUAAGGUAGCGAAAUUCCUUGUCGGGUAAGUUCCGACCUGCCCGAAUGGCGUAACGAUUUCCCUACUGUCUCAACCAGAGACUCAGCGAAACUGUAGUACCGGUGAAGAUGCCGGUUACCCGCAACAAGACAGAAAGACCCCGUGAACCUUUACUAUAGCUUGGCAUUGUGUUUAGGGAUAACAUGUGUAGGAUAGGUGGGAGACUUUGAAGCGUGCACGCUAGUGUGCGUGGAGUCACCCUUGAAAUACCACCCUUGUUAUCUUUGAACUCUAACCGCGGUCCGUGAUCCGGAUCCGGGACAGUGUCUGGUGGGUAGUUUGACUGGGGCGGUCGCCUCCCAAAGAGUAACGGAGGCGCGCGAUGGUUCCCUCAGGCUGAUUGGAAACCAGCCGUAGAGUGUAAAGGCAUAAGGGAGCUUGACUGCGAGAGAGACAUCUCGAGCAGGUACGAAAGUAGGUCUUAGUGAUCCGGCGAUUCCGCAUGGAAGGGUCGUCGCUCAACGGAUAAAAGGUACUCCGGGAUGACAGGCUUAUCUCCCCCAAGAGUCCACAUCGACGGGGAGGUUUGGCACCUCGAUGUCGGCUCAUCACAUCCUGGGGCUGGAGCAGGUCCCAAGGGUUCGGCUGUUCGCCGAUUAAAGUGGUACGUGAGCUGGGUUUAAAACGUCGUGAGACAGUUUGGUCCUUAUCUGUUGCGGGCGCAGGAUAUUUGAGGAGAUCUUUCCCUAGUACGAGAGGACCGGGAUGGACGAACCAAUGGUGUACCAGUUGUUCUGCCAAGGGCAUUGCUGGGUAGCUACGUUCGGCAGGGAUAACCGCUGAAAGCAUCUAAGCGGGAAACCCACUCCAAGAUAAGAUAUCCCGUACCGUUAGGUACCUGAAGGCUCGUUGGAGACUACAACGUUGAUAGGUCGGGUGUGGAAGUGCAGUAAUGCAUGGAGCUAACCGAUACUAAUGAGCCGUGCGGCUUAACCAU